GGAGGUCAGUACCUGCUUGCCUGAGACCUACUAGCUUUGAUUAGAAGGUUUCCACGUGCUGCUGGACCAUAGUUUGAGACUACACACCCCCAUCUGGACCCUAUUAAAAUGCAUCUCUUGACCAGUCACAGGAGGAGCCUGGGAGGGGGAGGAGAAGUCAAGGGAGAGGAGAAGUCAAGACAAGUUGACCUCAAAGGUACCACGGAAAAGUAAUGAUUAACACUGCUGCAGUCUGGGAACAGUUUAUUCAACUGCGGUGACGGAAACAAGGAGAAAGCCCUUCCUCAAACCCCUCGGCAAAAUCUGCUUUCCACUUCUGACUGAUGGUGGGAAGAAGAAAGACGCUGCAUUUGGAAGGACUGUCAGAAUCAAAUAUGUCUGAAAUCUUAAAUGCUUCU
rnacentral:lncRNA from 1 species